rnacentral:rRNA from 1 species
AGCUCUAAUAGCGUAUAUUAAAAUUGUUGCAGUUAAAACGCUCGUAGUUGAAUAUCUGUCUCCUAUUGACAUGGUCCGCAUUGCGAGAACCAUGCAUUAGAGGCAUCCGUUUGCGUCUUCGAUUUACUCGGGUUCGCAAACCGUUCACUUUGAGGAAAUUAGAGUGUUCAAAGCAGGCUUUAGCCAUGAAUACUUCAGCAUGGAAUGAUCGAUAGGACUCCCGUCCUAUCCGUUGGUUCUAGGGGCGAGGAGUAAUGAUAAAUAGGGUUGGUCGGGGGCAUUCGUAUUGAACAGUCAGAGGUGAAAUUCUUAGAUUUGUUCAAGACGAACAACUGCGAAAGCAUUUGCCAAGGACAACCCCA